rnacentral:rRNA from 1 species
GACGAACGCUGGCGGCGUGCCUAAUACAUGCAAGUCGAACGCUUCUUUCCUCCCGAGUGCUUGCACUCAAUUGGAAAGAGGAGUGGCGGACGGUUGAGUAACACUUGGUUAACCUACCCAUCACUGGGGGAUAACACUUGGUAACAGGUGCUAAUAUCUCAUAACAGUUUAUGCCGCAUUGCAUUAGACUGAUUGGUGCUUUCGGGUGUUGCUGAUGGAUGGACCCGUGGUUCAUUAGCUAGUUGGUGAGGUAACGGCUCACCAAGGCCACGAUGCAAAGCCGACCUGAGAGGGUGAUCGGACACACUGGGACUGAGACACGGCCGAGACUCCUACGGGAGGCAGCAGUAGGGAAUCUUCGGCAAUGGACGAAAGUCUGACCGAGCAACGCCGCGUGAGUGAAGAAGGUGUUCGGAUCGUAAAACUCUGUUGUUAGAGAAGAACAAGGACGUUAGUAACUGAACGGCCACUGACGGUAGCUAACCAGAAAGCCACGGCUAACUACGUG